rnacentral:rRNA from 1 species
GUGGGGAAUAUUGGACAAUGGGCGAAAGCCUGAUCCAGCCAUGCCGCGUGUGUGAAGAAGGUCUUCGGAUUGUAAAGCACUUUAAGUUGGGAGGAAGGGCAGUAAGUUAAUACCUUGCUGUUUUGACGUUACCAACAGAAUAAGCACCGGCUAACUUCGUGCCAGCAGCCGCGGUAAUACGAAGGGUGCAAGCGUUAAUCGGAAUUACUGGGCGUAAAGCGCGCGUAGGUGGUUUUGUAAGUUGGAGGUGAAAGCCCCGGGCUCAACCUGGGAACUGCCUCCAAAACUGCAUGACUAGAGUACGGUAGAGGGUAGUGGAAUUUCCUGUGUAGCGGUGAAAUGCGUAGAUAUAGGAAGGAACACCAGUGGCGAAGGCGACUACCUGGACUGAUACUGACACUGAGGUGCGAAAGCGUGGGGAGCAAACAGGAUUAGAUACCCCAGUAGUCC